rnacentral:rRNA from 1 species
CUACGGGCGGCUGCAGUGAGGAAUAUUGGACAAUGGAGGAAACUCUGAUCCAGCCAUGCCGCGUGAGUGAAGAAGGCCUUAGGGUUGUAAAGCUCUUUCAAUAGUGAAGAUAAUGACGGUAGCUAUAGAAGAAGCUCCGGCUAAAUUCGUGCCAGCAGCCGCGGUAAUACGAAUGGAGCAAGCGUUGUUCGGAAUCACUGGGCUUAAAGCGUGCGCAGGCGGAAACGAAAGUCAGAAGUGAAAUCCCAGGGCUCAACCUUGGAACUGCUUUUGAAACUUCGUUUCUAGAAUCCGAUAGAGGUAAGGAGAAUUCCUAGUGUAGAGGUGAAAUUCGCAGAUAUUAGGAGGAAUACCAGUGGCGUAGGCGCCUUACUGGGUCGGUAUUGACGCUCAUGUACGAAAGCGUGGGGAGCAAACAGGAUUAGAUACCCUAGUAGUC